GCCAGGCGUGGUGGUGCACGCUUGUAAUCCCAGCUACUUGGGAGGCUGAGGCAGGAGAAUUGCUUGAAUUCAGGAGGCGGAGGGUGCAGUGACCCAAGAUCAUGUCAUUGCACUCCAUCCUGGGUGACAGAGCAAAACUCUGUCUCUA
ensembl:misc_RNA Metazoa_SRP Metazoan signal recognition particle RNA